GAUGAACGCUGGCGGCGUGCCUAAUACAUGCAAGUCGAGCGAACGGACGAGAAGCUUGCUUCUCUGAUGUUAGCGGCGGACGGGUGAGUAACACGUGGAUAACCUACCUAUAAGACUGGGAUAACUUCGGGAAACCGGAGCUAAUACCGGAUAAUAUUUUGAACCGCAUGGUUCAAAAGUAAAAGACGGUCUUGCUGUCACUUAUAGAUGGAUCCGCGCUGCAUUAGCUAGUUGGUAAGGUAACGGCUUACCAAGGCAACGAUGCAUAGCCGACCUGAGAGGGUGAUCGGCCACACUGGAACUGAGACACGGUCCAGACUCCUACGGGAGGCAGCAGUAGGGAAUCUUCCGCAAUGGGCGAAAGCCUGACGGGGCAACGCCGCGUGAGUGAUGAAGGUCUUCGGAUCGUAAAACUCUGUUAUUAGGGAAGAACAUAUGUGUAAGUAACUGUGCUCAUCUUGACGGUACCUAAUCAGAAAGCCACGGCUAACUACGUG
rnacentral:rRNA from 1 species